rnacentral:rRNA from 1 species
ACGCUCGACACCUACGGGAGGCUGCAGUGGGGAAUAUUGCACAAUGGGGAAACCCGUGAUGCAGCGACGCCGCGUGAGCGAAGAAGUAUCUCGGUAUGUAAAGCUCUAUCAGCAGGGAAGAAGAUGACGGUACCUGACUAAGAAGCACCGGCUAAAUACGUGCAGCAGCCGCGGUAAUCUGAGCGGGCUGGCAAGGC